AGUAAUUUUAUCACUGAGGGUGCCAACAGAGCCUAAGUUUUUUAUUUUGUAGUUUAUUUUUUAGUGGCUGGAUGCUUAUCUUGAGGAACAAAAUGAGAAAACAGUAGCAUUCUUUAUUAUUCUGCAUACUGAAGGAUGGGAUCUUGCUGAAAAUGCACCAGUGGAAGCCUGACUGCAAGACUGAGGCUGAAGGGGAAUUACAGUUGCAGAAUGGCUGAGGCUGACAGGUCCUCUGGCCUAAUACUGGACCCACGUCCAGGCAGCUGCUGAAGGGGGAGCAGAACCCACACACAGCCUCUGGGCAGCCUGAGAAAAUACUCCAUCACCCGCACAGUACAGAAGUGCUCCUUGGAGGAAACCUCCUGAGCUCCAGCUUGUGCAAACUGCAUCAUGUUUGGUGGUGCCCAGUGCCAGGAGAGCACCUGCCUCUGUCUUCAAUUGAGCUAUUCCUUCAGAUAUCUAUAGACAUUAAUGAGAACCCUUUGAGCUUCCUCCAGGAUGAACAGAUCCUCCUCUUACAGGAUCUCCGCAUAGUCGAGAUGCUUCAAUACCUUAAUCAUCAUGGUCAUCCUUUGUUAGGCUAUUUGUAGUAUGACCAGGUCUUUCUUGUAAUGGGGAACCCAGAAGUGGACCCAGAACUUCAGGUGUAGGCUCAUCAGUUCUGAACAGAGGGAUAGAGCCACCUUGACUAGCUGGCAAUGGUUUGCACAGUGCAUCCCAAGAUACCAUUAGCCUUUUUUACGCUUAGGACAAAUUGCUGGCUCUGAAAUCCAUCAGGACUCCUAGGUCCAUUUCUGCAGAGCUGCUUUCCAGUUUCUUGGUGACAAGCAUGUACUGGUGCAUGAGGGUGUUUUAACUUUUAGUAGUGAAUGUUCUGCAAGCUCUUCAGGCAGUCUGUUCCAGAAGAAAAUAAAUGAAUGAAAAAUUAAGAUUAGGUGGGGUUUCUUAUUCUCAUUUUCCUGCUGCAUUUGGAGAUCUCUUUCUUCAUGUUGUCUCUCUUUUUUGAGACAGAAUUUCAUUCUAUUUUUUAUUAUUUUAAAUAUUUUAAAUAUUUCUAUGUCUAUCAUCAUUUUCCUGAGACUUCUAGUCAUAUUUUUCCGAGUAUUAUCUUUUAAGUCAUAUUUCCUAGAUCAUAAUCCACAUAACUUUCUGAUCAUUUUUCUGUUGUUUUUUUUUCCUCUUGACUUUCUGUUGGACCACAAGUCUAGUUUUAUUAAAGAGUUGGUAUAGAGUGAAGAAUUAACUAUAUCUUACAUCAAACAUUCCAGUUUAGAAAUUGUGGCAUUUAUUUUUUUGUUUAUUUUAAUGAUAUAAAAACUGGAAGACAGUUUUAUCCACUUUUAUUUUUUCCUUCUUCCUUCAUCUGCUUUCAUCUGGUGUGAAGUGUAUUUGACUUUAACAAAGCACUAUGAUUUAGCUCUAGCAGGCAGCUCAGCACUACAUAGCCACUCUCUCACUCCUGCACAGCAGGAUGGGAGAGAAUCAAAAUGAGAAAACACAUAGGUGGAGAAAAACAGUUUGUGAGGUAAAGCAAAAGCUGCUUGCACGUAAGAAGUAAAACAAGGAAUUAUACAGUCACAGAAUUGCAGGUAUUGAAAAGGACCUCAAGAGAUUCAUAGCGUCCAACCCCUCUACCUAAGCAGGUACCCUACAAUAUGUUGCACGGGUAGGUGUCCAGAAAAGUCUUGAAUAUCUCCAUGGAAGCAGACUCCUCAACCUCUCUGGGCAGCCUUAUCCAGUGCUGUGUCACCCUUACUGUAAAUAAGUUCUUCUACGCAUUUUAUGGAACUUCCUGUGUUCAAGUUUUAGGCCAUUGCUCUUUGUCCUAUUGCUGAGAAGAGCCUGGCCUUAUCCAUUUGUCUUCCACUUCCCUUUAGAUAUUUUAAAGUAGUUAUAGGAUCCCUUCUCAGUCUUCUUUUCCCCAGGCUGAACAGUCCCAGGUUUCUCAGUCUUUCCUCAUGCAGGAGACGUUCCAGGCUCUUUAUAAUCUUUGUGGCCCUCUGCUGGACUCCUUCAAGGAGAUCCUUUUUUUUUUAACUGCGGAGCCUCAUUACUCCAGAUGUGGCCCCACCAGACAUGCUGGCCACGCACUUUUUAAUGUGACCAGGGUGCCACUGGCCUACUUGUCUACAAGGGCACAGUACUGGCUCAUGUCCAAUCUGUUAUCCACCAGGACACCUUGGUCCUUC